rnacentral:rRNA from 1 species
GGAGCAAAACACAAAAAGACAGUCUCAGUUCAGAUUGUAGGCUGAAACUCGCCUAUAUGAAGUCGGAAUUGCUAGUAAUCGCAGAUCAGCAUGCUGCGGUGAAUACGUUCCCGGGCCUUGUACACACCGCCCGUCACACCAUGAGAGUCGAUAACACCCGAAGCCUGUAGUCUAACCAUAAGGAGGACGCAGUCGAAGGUGGGAUUGAUAAUUAGGGUGAAGUCGUAACAAGGUAGC